UCCUCGCAGGCCCCGCCCACCUCGGGAGGCGGUGCGCAGAGGGUCAGAGGCAGAGCCGUGGCUCCGGCAGAGGGGGAGCUAGAGGAGACACGGCCGAUAGGGACGUGUUUUGGAGGCAGAGCUGACAUGACUGACGGACGUGGAAGCCUGGUGCAUAUCCUUCCAGACCUUUCUGCAUUCACCGCUUCCGUACCCCUUCGUAGUAGCACGGGGAAGACGGCUUGGAAGAUUACUGGAAACGCCAAAGACUUGAUUUCCAGAUGAUUGGUUCUCUUGAAAGGAUACGGGAUUCUGGGAGCUUCCUUCUCUUUGUUAUGAUCAUGCCAUAAAAAAAGGGGUUUUAUGUAA